GCCAGUGUGAUAUGGUGGUUUGAGCAUUGCACUAUAAUUCUGGAGACCAGGGUUCAAAUCCCUGCUCAGCCA